AGAGGUCUCGCCUGCCCUGUGACCAUGAGUUUAACGGCCGCGGUAUUUUGACCGUGCAAAGGUAGCGCAAUCACUUGUCUUUUAAAUGAAGACCUGUAUGAAUGGCAUAACGAGGGCUUAACUGUCUCCCUUUUCCAGUCAAUGAAAUUGAUCUCCCCGUGCAGAAGCGGGGAUUAAAACAUAAGACGAGAAGACCCUAUGGAGCUUUAGACAAAGAGCAGACCAUGUUAAACACACCUAAAUAAAGGACAAAACCAAUUGGCCCCUGCCCUUAUGUCUUUGGUUGGGGCGACCGCGGGGAAACAAAAAACCCCCAUGUGGACUGAAGACAUUCCUCUUCACAACCAAGAGCCACAGCUCUAAGCAACAGAACAUCUGACCAACAAGAUCCGGCACUAAGCCGAUCAACGGACCGAGUUACCCUAGGGAUAACAGCGCAAUCUCCUUUUAGAGCCCCCAUCGACAAGGAGGUUUACGACCUCGAUGUUGGAUCAGGACAUCCUAAUGGUGCAGCCGCUAUUAAGGG
rnacentral:rRNA from 1 species